rnacentral:rRNA from 1 species
GUAGGGAAUUUUCGGCAAUGGGCGCAAGCCUGACCGAGCAAUGCCGCGUGAAAGAAGAAGUAUUUCGGUAUGUAAAUUUCUUUUAUUUGGGACGAAAAAACAAAUUGACGGUACCAAAUGAAUAAGCUCCGGCUAACUACGUGCCAGCAGCCGCGGUAAUACGUAGGGAGCGAGCGUUAUCCGGAUUUAUUGGGCGUAAAGGGUGCGUAGAUGGCAAUGUAAGUUGUAUGUAAAAAUGCUGGGCUUAACCCAGUAUCGCAUACAAGACUGCAUAGCUAGAGUAUGGAAGAGGCAAGUGGAACUCCAUGUGUAGCGGUAAAAUGCGUAAAUAUAUGGAAGAACACCAGUGGCGAAAGCGGCUUGCUAGUCCAAUACUGACAUUGAGGCACGAAAGCGUGGGGAGCAAACAGGAUCAGAAACCCCUGUAGUCC